CCACCUCUGCAGGCUGCCGGCCCCCAGGCUGGGCUGGGCUGGGCUGGGCGACUAUCCCUUCGAAAGGCUCACCCUCCAGCACGACUAGGAGC
rnacentral:pre_miRNA from 1 species